UCGGGCGGAGCGGCCGCGAGCGCGUGUGGCCGGGCGGCCUCGGCCCGCGCAGAUGGACGGACCGCGGUGGACGGCGCCGGCGAGCGGCGCGGAGGGCCGCAGCGAGGGGAUCACCAUCCAGGAGACGAGGGUUCGGCCACACGUCGGAGUCCCCGGGAGAAGGAGGCCCGAGGCGGAGAGAGAGGAAGGGAAGGAGAUAGAAGCAU